GUCGACGGGUUCCUUCUCCUCCUAUCUCCCUUGCGCCCCCAUCCUGGCCGCUACCUCGUGCACAUCUCCUCCUCCCCAUCGCGUCUGCCUCAGCAGCAACAGCCGAAGUUCAGCCCAGAGGAACUGCAUGAACGCCGACCGCCACAUGUCUCACUUUAUCUAUGCCUACAAGGUGCUUGACAAAAUACCUGACUGUGAAGAGAUGAUUGCUUGGACUGUUCUGGAAAGUGGCGGUAGGAGGUACCGAAACCAUGAAAAAAUGCAAUUUUAAUAGAAACAUGGAAUGAGUUCUGAUUCUUCUCAUUUUAGUUACAAUCAUCUUUUUGAAUCUUAUUUUUUGGUAUUCAUGCUUCAUACAUUAUAUUUAUCCUUAAUCCAUGGCGGUCUCACUGCUCUUAUGCAUGUCCUGCAGUUUCGUCAAGUAUUUGAUACCCUAAUUUGUACUCUAAUGACUUCUGGUGGUAUAAUAUGCUCAAGGUUUGCAUACCGUAUACAAGUCAAGCAUAUUACUCCAAUAUCAUUCUACAAGUACCUACAAUUUUAUACAGAUGAUAAAAGCAUGUUGCCAUUACAAUAAAAAUAUACUCUGUUUUAGAGUAUGGUCCACUAAACUGUCAUGCAUUUUACUUAUUUUUAGGAUUUCGAUCCACCUAAUCAAACUGCAUAUUUAGAUGAGUUCUAGAUUUUGGCAAAACUCUAACUUUGUGCUGCUUCAGUUAUUCUGUUAAAUUUUCCAGGUUUACAUAUGAAUAUGCUCAAUUCUGCAUUAGUUUUGUGUACUUUUAUUUCUAUUACACCACAACUACUAUUUUGCUACACCUCUACUUUUUAGUCAUCCACUGGCUCUAAUUCAUUCAGCUCCCCUCCAUUGCUUUUUAACAACUUACAGCAGCAUUCUGGAAUGUGAGGAAACCUUGCCUGUAUGUGGCAUUGUUUUCUCUUUAUGCUCCUAAACCGCAUGAAAUAUUUCUUUCUUACUUUUCAGUUUAUUUAACACCGCUUUCCCAAAUAGGCUACAACUAUAUGUUUAGAUAGGACCACAUCAUUGCAAGGAACUAAAGACUAAGAUGUAUUUUUAACUACCUUUGUUUAAUUUAUACCACAUAUUAGAAUUUCACUACAAGGUACAAUCACAGUUGCCAGUCCCAGAACACAGCCCUAUGAUGAUAGGUAGUUUUUUUUUCCCAAUUCAGUUCAGUUUAGUCUGAUGCCUAUAGUAUGCCAGUCUGAUGCCUAUAGCAUGCCAUAUCUUACGAUUCUGUUGAUUGCAGAAUAUGUUGCUUGGUGACUGUAUCAGUGAUAGAUUGAGCAAGCUUGGCUUACAUGUCGUGUUGAUUUCAGACUUGGAAGGAGAAGCUAAUUGAGCAUCGUUCUCCAGUUCAGGCAACCACGUUCUGGAGCUACCUGUCAGACUACUACUUGAACACGAUGAUUGAAGUGGCGCGAUAGUACACAUGCUCAAGAGCUACCUUAACAUGUUCAGCUAACAAUCAUAUAGGCACCGCGUGCCUAGACAAUCAGAGUUGUACGUUCAGGCAAGAGGACUGCGGCAAAAUCUUCGCCGCUGCUCGAUGGAGGAGGGGGAUCGCGAUCUGCAAAAGGAGGUGCAGUGUUGGGGGCUUAUGAUGUGUCGCCACUACCUGGAGUCACUUUGUCGCCGUGACCAUUACCAUUGCCUAACAAGGUGAUUUAUCUAUUGUAUAUCACUCUGUCUGCUGAUGCACAUUUGAAAUUUUCUGAAAUUUAUGGGAACUGAAGGAAAAUAUGGAUGCAAGCAACAUGCACUUUUAUGCUUUUUUCUAUGCCAUAUAUAGUUGGUUACAGUUUUCUGAAAGUAAAGUGAGCUAAAUAUAUGUUCUUUCUAGCAAAAUCUAACUGGCAUUGCUGUUAUCGCAUUUAUUUCAGGUGACUUUCCUAUUGCACAUCACAAUUUCUGGUGACACAUAUGUGAAGUUUGUUGCAGAUUUUUGAAGUGAAGGAAAAUAUGGACACAACCAACAUGCCGGUUACUUCACUUUCUCUAUUCCACCUUUUAUAAUUAGAAACUUUUUGUAGAGAUCUAUCCAUCUAUGCAAGGAUCAGAAUGAAUGGUAGAAGGAGGUGUUGUCCGCAUACAAUCAAAUAGAAGGGUCGAGAAUUGUUUUAUGGUCUUUUUAUUUGCGGGGUUCCUUUCCUUGUGGAUGCCUGUUCCAUGAUUUCUUUGCCUUUCGCCUUGCCCGCUGACGUGUUUAUGUUGCCUCUGUGUUCUGUCUUUGCAUGUUUGGCGCCUUGUUGGGAUUGUCGUGUCGGUUCGCUGUGGCUGCUCCCGUUCGUCUGUUGUCCGGUUACGUUCUUGGGUCAGGAUUAAAAUUUGUCGACAAUUCUUUUCGUCUAGCAAAUGCAUCCUACUUACUAAUGGUGGCCCAGAUUACUGUGUGUCCAUAAGCUAUGUUUGUAAGACCAGCCAAUGGGACUGCACCUGCUGCCAAUGAGUGUGUCGUUGUGCCCGAUGAAUUGGUAUAUAGCAGGGGUGGAGCCAACCUGAUGAUAGAGCCUAAGUAAAAAUAAAUAAAGUCUGACUUACGUUUGCCCAUGGAAAUAGAGGAUUAGUUCGUUUCCCUUCAAGAAUCAAUAGUUGCAAUACCUUGAAGAAUAAUGAAGAAAUUAUGAUGUGUACGGAUUAGUGAAAGGCAAUGGAACCUGUGAUGGCUUGCUGAGAGCAGGAGAAAAACAUUUAUAGAGCCCCUUACAGGUGGCUGUAUGAUUAUACUUUUGCUUGGAUACUAUAUGAAGAAACUUAAAAAUGCGUUGAGAAAAUCCUCUUGACCCACUAAAUAUCCAAGGGUUCCUUAUUUAAAGUCCAUGGCUACUGAUCUGGUGAAACUGAUAUUGGUAGCAAGUUGAACUGUACCUCAUGGAUGACAAGAUAUAGUUAUGUCGCUUCAGGUUGUAGGAUAAGGUCAUUUGCCCAUUUCACUUCCAAACUAAAAACGUUGAAUACAAUUUAAUUGGUUCAUUCCUGAGUAUGUGCUUUCUUCCCAUCUAUUAUUAGAUUGUACGCCUUUUAA